GAUGAACGCUGUCGGCGCGCCUAACACAUGCAAGUCGAACGGCGUGGCGAGCGGCUGAGUAACACGGGGGCAAGCUGCCCCCCUCUUGGGGAUAGCCUCGGGACACCGGGAGAAUACCCGGUAGAGAGGGAUGGCCCGCGGCCGGUAAGCUGGUUGGUGGGGUAGAGGCCUACCAAGGCAAUGAUGGGUAGCGGGGUUGAGAGACGGACCAGCCAGGUUGGGACUGAGACACGGCCCAGACUCCUACGGGAGGCAGCGGUGGGGAAUCUUGCACAAUGGGCGAAAGCCAGAUGCAGGGACGCCGCGUGCGGGAAGAAGGCCUUCGGGUUGUAAACCGCUUUCAGCAGGGACGCGGUACCUGCAGAAGAAGCCCAGGCUAACUACGUGCCAGCAGCCGCGGUAAUUC
rnacentral:rRNA from 1 species